rnacentral:rRNA from 1 species
UACGGAGGGAGCGAACGUUGUUCGGAUUUACUGGGCGUAAAGGGCUCGUAGGCGGCCAACUAAGUCAGACGUGAAAUCCCUCGGCUUAACCGGGGAACUGCGUCUGAUACUGGAUGGCUUGAGUUUGGGAGAGGGAUGCGGAAUUCCAGGUGUAGCGGUGAAAUGCGUAGAUAUCUGGAGGAACACCGGUGGCGAAGGCGGCAUCCUGGACCAACACUGACGCUGAGUGAGCGAAAGCCAGGGGAGCAAACGGG